UUUGAAGAUUGGGAUGACGUAGGUCUUAACAUUCCCCGCCCCCCUGGGCUUGUCCACUUAUUGAAAGAUUAUAGCAGUCAUGUGGCUCCUUGUAAAGACACUUGCGAUGCAUGUGUUGAUGUGGAUUUGGACUCAGAAACAUUGGUUCACAUAGAGGCACAGUGGAAGGCCAGAGUGGAAAGUUUGGAAUUAAAAAUUGAAUCUCUAGAACAGCAACUGAAAUUAUCGCUUGAAGAAAAUACAACUUUAUCUCAGCAAAUAGACAUUUUUAAAAUAGGAGGAGAGAGA
rnacentral:sRNA from 1 species